UCUUGAAAUAAAAGGAGCUAAGGUUUUGGCGUAUUUUGUCCGUUUAAAGCGCCGAGACCUAAAAAUCAAAACGAACUAGACCUUGUAGACGUUUCAAUGGAUUCUUUUUGCACGGCGGUUCGAUUCCGCCCAUCUCCACAU
rnacentral:tmRNA from 1 species